ACAGCAGCAAUGUGUGCUUGGGAGAAAUGUUGCUUCCUGUUAACUUGGAAGCUGAGACUUUCCGUGUGUUUUAUUCCAGCCUGAUGAAUGGGUGGACAAAUUCUUACAAAUAUAUAGUGAAUGCUUACUUUCACAGUAGAAGAAUGAGAAAAUGGAUUAAGAGAAGAUGCAGAUGGAGAACCUGAAGAGAACCAGAGAUGCACAUAGUCAGUGAAGAUUUUCUGUGAAAAAGUUGAAGCUUUGUGUUAUUCAGAGAUUUGCUGAAGCCACCUGCCUGACAUAGCCCCAAUGUAUAUGGAGCACGGCGCCCUCCAGGGCCCAUUGCAGUCACCCAGCUCUGGCUCCAGCCAAGCCUCAGCCUUCUCUCUGAUGGAGAUUUGAAGAUAAUGUGAGUUGCUUGUGAUGUUAAAAUGAACUAUGUAGAAAAAAAAUUAUUGACCUGUA